GUAAUCCACUGUAAUCUCUGCGCAUUCGAAAUUAUGGAAAUUUUGUAGAUACUUCUACACGCGGAAAAUAAUGGCAACAUAUGAAACCAAAUCGAGUUGAUUAUCUCAAGAAGAGCAAAAUUUUCGAUGUUGGAGAUCGGGGCGUAAAAAAGAAGCCCAUCUGGUGAUCCACAAAUUACGCUGCUGGAAAAGCAUGGAAAACACGCGUCCUGUUGUUAAGGACAUUUAGCAGUAAAGACACAACGUUGGAUUGUAAUAUCCUGCCCGCCUCCAAAGAACAGAAGACCAAGAUCCAACAAAGGGAUUGGUGCGAAAUAAGUCUAAAAAUCAUGUUUUAAAUGAUGCAUACUUCGAACAGCGCAAAUUCACACACUCUCGAAAAGACUGGAAUAAAUUGCCAAGACUUGAUUAUAUCAGCUUUAUUAACUUUGUCCAUCAUUAAACGUUAACAAUGACGAGGAAUGAAAAUGCUUUCCCAUUGGUACAUAUGUGAAAAUGGUGCAAAUCGGUUGCGAAGAUUUCAAAUUAUAUUUAUUUGUUCCUUUUUAUGGAAUUUCCUUAGACCUUUUGGUACCAAUUAAGCGCUUAACAUAACAUUUUUGUGGAAAAUACCUGAAUUUUCUUUUUUUAGUUUUGUCUAGUCAUUGUAAAUUAUAGCUUACGCAAAUUGAUUAUUGUCGACACUUGGGUUCCACAUCGAGAUUGACCCAAUCAUAAAUAAAAAUUUUACAGAAUGAACUAUGUUCCAGUGUCUCAAGCUUGACUUUCAACUACGAUUCAUAAGUGCACAAUGAUAGGCCUUUGUCAACUGUACAUACGUUGGAAACCAUUAUAGCGAAGAUUUACUUCGCAAAUUCCUCUCGACCUUUCUGUGUUAUUUACAGUACCUGUGAGACGAUAAAGACAAUAUUAAUCAGACGUGUAGCAGUAGAGAUAUUCAAACUCAAAGCAUCAUUUCUCGUGGCUUUGGUCAAAUAAACGUUAACCUACUUAUCAGA